GGCCAAACGUUGAAACACCGAUUCUCAUACAAUCACCGAAGUUAAGCAACGUCGAGUCUGGUCAGUCCCUAGAUGGGUGACAGUUUGGGAAUACCAGGUGUUGGAA